UUCUUUUAGAGCGAAAUAAAAGUAUCCUCUGCUCCAUGAUUUUAAAUAGCAGCAGUUUUCUGUUCUAAGGUAGCAUAAUCAAUUGUCUUAUUAAUUGUAGACUAGUAUGAAGGAGGGAAUAUUUAAUAGCUUUAUUAUUAAAAAUAUUUGAAAUUAAAUUUUUAGUCAAAAUGCUAAAAUUAAUUAUAGGGACAAGAAGACCCUAAAAGCUUUAUAAAAUAAAAUUAUAUUAUUAUUAUAUAUCAAUUUUUUAGUUGGGGCAAUAUAUUAUUUUGAGAAAUAUAAUAAAAAAAUAAAUCUAAAAAAAAUAAGAUCCUUUAAUGUAAAGAUAAUUUGAAAAAGUUACUUUAGGGAUAACAGGAUAAUUUUUAUUUAAAAGUACAAAUUUAAAAUAUAGAUUAUUACCUCGAUGUUGAAUUCAUCUUAUUAUCUAAUGCAGGAAGUUAUAUAAAUUUGACUGGUCGUCAAUUAAAAAAUUACA
rnacentral:rRNA from 1 species